UGGCUCAGGAUGAACGCUAGCUACAGGCUUAACACAUGCAAGUCGAGGGGCAGCAGAUCGAAAGCUUGCUUUGAUGCUGGCGACCGGCGCACGGGUGAGUAACGCGUAUCCAACCUUCCCUAUAGUAGAGAAUAGCCCGGCGAAAAGUCGGAUUAAUGCUCUAUGUUGUAUUUAGAGGACAUCUGAAGAAUACCAAAGGUUUACCGCUAUAGGAUGGGGAUGCGUCUGAUUAGGUUGUUGGCGGGGUAACGGCCCACCAAGCCCACGAUCAGUAGGGGUUCUGAGAGGAAGGUCCCCCACAUUGGAACUGAGACACGGUCCAAACUCCUACGGGAGGCAGCAGUGAGGAAUAUUGGUCAAUGGACGAAAGUCUGAACCAGCCAAGUAGCGUGCAGGAUGACGGCCCUAUGGGUUGUAAACUGCUUUUAUACAGGGAUAAAGUGAGGGACGUGUCCCUUUUUGUAGGUACUGUAUGAAUAAGGACCGGCUAAUUCCGUGCCAGCAGCAGC
rnacentral:rRNA from 1 species